rnacentral:rRNA from 1 species
CUCGUAGGCGGCUUGUCGCGUCGUCCGUGAAAACCCGGGGCUCAACUCCGGGCUUGCGGGCGAUACGGGCAGGCUAGAGUUCGGUAGGGGAGACUGGAAUUCCUGGUGUAGCGGUGAAAUGCGCAGAUAUCAGGAGGAACACCGGUGGCGAAGGCGGGUCUCUGGGCCGAUACUGACGCUGAGGAGCGAAAGCGUGGGGAGCGAACAGGAUUAGAUACCCUGGUAGUCCACGCUGUAAACGUUGGGCGCUAGGUGUGGGGGGCCUCUCCGGUUCUCUGUGCCGCAGCUAACGCAUUAAGCGCCCCGCCUGGGGAGUACGGCCGCAAGGCUAAA